AUGGAGACAGACACACUCCUGCUAUGGGUGCUGGUGCUCUGGGUUCCAGACUCCAAUGGUGACAUUGUGCUAACCCAAUCUCCAGCUUCUUUGGCUGUGUCUCUAGGGCAGAGGGCCACCAUAUCCUGCAAGGCCAGCCAGAGUAUCAAUUAUUACAGUGAUAAUUAUAUGCACGGGUUCCAACAGAAACCAGGACAGCCAACCAAACUCCUUAUCUAUGAUGCAUCCAACCUAGAAUCUGGAGUUCCUGAUAGGUUCAGUGGCAGUGGGUCUGGGACAGACUUUACCCUCACCAUUGAUCCUGUGGAAGAGGAUGAUGCUGCAAUCUAUUACUGUCAGCAAAGUAGGGAGUUUCCUCCCACAGUGCUCCAGGGCUGAACAAAAACCUCCUGGG